rnacentral:rRNA from 1 species
UACGGGGGGGGCAAGCGUUGUUCGGAAUUACUGGGCGUAAAGGGCUCGUAGGCGGCCAACUAAGUCAGACGUGAAAUCCCUCGGCUUAACCGGGGAACUGCAUCUGAUACUGGAUGGCUUGAGUUCGGGAGAGGGAUGCGGAAUUCCAGGUGUAGCGGUGAAAUGCGUAGAUAUCUGGAGGAACACCGGUGGCGAAGGCGGCAUCCUGGACCGACACUGACGCUGAGGAGCGAAAGCCAGGGGGAGCAAACGGGG